GACGAACGCUGGCGGCGUGCCUAAUACAUGCAAGUCGAGCGAAGCGGCGGAUGGGUGAGUAACGCGUGGGUCACCUGCCCUUAAGUCAGGGAUACCUUUUGGAAACAGAUGCUAAUACCGGAUACUAAAGGAUGGACCUGCGAUGCAUUAGCUAGUUGGUAAGGUAACGGCUUACCAAGGCGAUGAUGCAUAGCCGAGUGGAGAGACUGAUCGGCGACAUGGGGACUGAGCAGAGGCCCAAGCGCCUGAGGGAGGCAGCAGUAGGGAAUCUUCCGCAAUGGACGAAAGUCUGAUAGAGAGACGGCGAGUGAGUGAAGAAGGUUUUCGGAUCGUAAAGCUCUGUUGUUGGUGAAGCGGUAAUCAACCAGAAAGUCACGGCUAACUACGUGCCAGCAGCCGCGGUAAUAC
rnacentral:rRNA from 1 species